GAUGAACGCUGGCGGCGUGCCUAAUACAUGCAAGUCGAGCGGAGAGGGGACGGGUGAGUAACACGUCGGGAACCUCCUAUAAGGAUGGGAUAACUUCGGGAAACCGGAGCUAAACCGGAUAAUUAUCGAUGGUGGUGAGCGGCAUUAGCUAGUUGGUAAGGUAACGGCUUACAAAGGCAACGAUGCAUAGCCGACCUGAGAGGGUGAUCGGCCACACUGGAACUGAGACACGGUCCAGACUCCUACGGGAGGCAGCAGUGGGGAAUCUUCCGCAAUGGGCGAAAGCCUGACGGAGCAACGCCGCGUGAGUGAAGAAGGUCUUCGGAUCGUAAAGCUCUGUUAUUAGGGAAGCGGUACCUAAUCAGAAAGCAACGGCUAACUACGUGCCAGCAGCCGCGGUAAUUC
rnacentral:rRNA from 1 species